CCUACGGGAGGCUGCAGUGAGGAAUAUUGGUCAAUGGACGAGAGUCUGAACCAGCCAAGUAGCGUGAAGGAUGACUGCCCUAUGGGUUGUAAACUUCUUUUAUAUGGGAAUAAAGUGUUCCACGUGUGGGAUUUUGUAUGUACCAUAUGAAUAAGGAUCGGCUAACUCCGUGCCAGCAGCCGCGGUAAUACGGAGGAUCCGAGCGUUAUCCGGAUUUAUUGGGUUUAAAGGGAGCGUAGGUGGAUUGUUAAGUCAGUUGUGAAAGUUUGCGGCUCAACCGUAAAAUUGCAGUUGAAACUGGCAGUCUUGAGUACAGUAGAGGUGGGCGGAAUUCGUGGUGUAGCGGUGAAAUGCUUAGAUAUCACGAAGAACUCCGAUUGCGAAGGCAGUUCACUGGACUGCAACUGACACUGAGGCUCGAAAGUGUGGGUAUCAAACAGGAUUAGAUACCCUAGUAGUC
rnacentral:rRNA from 1 species